UUGUGUGAAGAGAACUCACUCCAAAGCCGCUUUCUCUCCUCACGAUCAGCGCUCCUCACCGCCGUCGACUCGCCAUCGCAUACACAGAUUGCUCUCCUGCAUACCCCUCUCUAAAGUCGUACGCCUCUUCCUGUCUCUUCUUUUUUGAUUACAUAUAAAUGUGGCUUCCAUCUAUUUUUCUUUCCUUCAUAAUGUAUAUGUACGUCGACCAGUCUUUGAAAAUGCAGGGGGUAAUGCCAAAUUUGUAUUUUUCUGUUCUUCUAUUCGAUCGAUUUUAUUUUUGGUAGGUUUUGGUGCUGUAUUAUUUUAGGAAGACAAACUGAUAACUAUGGUGCUAAUUAGCUUAACUAUGCUAAUUUUAUUGAUAAAUUCACCGCUUGGUUACAUAACCAUCGCUGUCCCAGUUUCAAAUUCAUCCAUCCACCACAAUUAUUUGUCAUUUACACAAACAGCUUAUGUGCAUUGAACGUCCAGUUCGUAUUGUUUUACUUGAGCAAUUAAUUGAACAUCUUCAGUCAUCCAACAGCCACUUUAUCAUUCCUGUGGUAAAGCUAUGUUUCAUAUGCACCUAUAUUAUCAAACGCAUUUGGUGAUUCCGCCUUUCACUUCGUAUCAUAAAAUAUUAUUGGAGCGGUUUGUAUUAUUAGAAGACCUGCGUAUGGUUAUUGACAAUGAGAUGUGCUGAUAGAAUGCUUCAUGAAAAUUGGUUCACGAGCUGGAAGAUCUUCCUUUGUUGUAGACCGGGGAACAAGAGAAUGAAAGUCAAGAUUAUACAUGGCAUGCUGUUGCUUCUUGGACAUGGGAUGCCCAAGACGAGACUUGUGGUAUUUGUAGG